rnacentral:rRNA from 1 species
UGGCUGCAGUCGAGGAUCUUCGGCAAUGGGCGAAAGCCUGACCGAGCGACGCCGCGUGGACGAUGAAGGCCUUCGGGUUGUAAAGUCCUGUCGAGGGGGAUCAAGGCGCAAGCUUGAGUGAUCCCUGGAGGAAGCACGGGCUAAGUUCGUGCCAGCAGCCGCGGUAAGACGAACCGUGCAAACGUUAUUCGGAAUCACUGGGCAUAAAGGGCGCGUAGGCGGCUUGCCAAGUCAGUGGUGAAAUCCUCCGGCUUAACCGGAGAAGUGCCGUUGAUACUGGCGAGCUUGAGGGAGGUAGGGGCAGCUGGAACUUCUGGUGGAGCGGUGAAAUGCGUUGAUAUCAGAAGGAACGCCGGUGGCGAAAGCGAGCUGCUGGAUCUCUACUGACGCUGAGGCGCGAAAGCUAGGGGAGCAAACGGGAUUAGAUACCCCGGUAGUCCUAGCCCUAAACGAUGGGUACUAGAUUGCGGACUUACAUGGGUUCGCAGUCGAAGCUAAUGUUUUAAGUACCCCGCCUGGGGAGUAUGGUCGCAAGGCUGAAACUCAAAGGAAUUGACGGGGGCUCACACAA